AGGGCCUAGAGGAUUGUGACUCUGGAUGAAGGAAAGGACGUCCUCCUUGGACAGCUUGUCUGGAUCCUGGGGCUUCUGGGAGUCACGCAUGUGGAAGCCAUCUCCCCACUCCCAGAAGAGCCGGCUGUUGUAGCAGCUUCCAAUGGCCAAGCCCAGACGGCUCAAGAGGAUGGCAGAUGAUAACUUCCCUAAGGCCUGUCCUGAUCCUUACCACUACAAGGUGACAUCUCCAGCCUAUAGGGUACACAACAGAGAGGCCAUGCUUACCUGCUGAGAACACUAUAUGGGCAUCUACAAUUUCAUCUCUCCCUGCCCCCAGCCAAAGACCAGAACAGGCCCAGUUGGGGUGUUUCCAACGGGUACCUCAGAAACUGCCAGCUGACUGCUGUCCGCCUCAACAAGAAAGUCGGAGUCAAACCACCCUUGCUGGGUAAGGGCAGGGGACGGUCAUUCAGUACCUACCAUUUACAGUCCUGACAAUGUAGACGCCUGUGGGCACAAAGUGCCGGUCGUCCCGUCCUGUGUAGCUGAGCUUUGGGGUGCCACCAGAGCCUUUGAUGAGCUUCAUUUCUAACCUGGUUUCCCCAAAUGGAUGAGCAUCCAGGAAGCACAUGCACAAGGGACAGACAGAGUUGGGCAUGCUAGUGUUAGUCUCCGGGUAAUUCACAGUGACACUAACUUCACUGUUCUAUCCUGGCUUGGCAGAAGAAACCAAAGCACAGGUCCUUAAGCAUACUGCUCCAAGCCAUGCUAGGGAGAGCUGGUAGCAGAGCUGAGGGUAGAGCACAGGCUCUGCAUUCCAGUCAAGCAAUGGGUGAAGAGGUGUUGCCCCUCAUCCAUACCGACAGGGGAAACCAGACACCAGUCGCACCACUUGGUCUUCAGAGGACUGCUCUGGGGCUCUCUCACAGUGGGACUCAUUUGCUGAGUGUGGUAGGCACACUGAAGGUCUAUGAAACGCAUCUAUGUCCUCUGGGAUUUAGGGAUGCCCAUUCUUCCUUCCCCCUGCUUAUUCCCUCCAGCUUCCAAUGGCCAAGCCCAGACGGCUCAAGAGGAUGGCAGAUGAUAACUGCCCUAAGGCCUGUCCUGGUCCUUACCACUACAAGGUGACAUCUCCAGCCUAUAGGGUACACAACAGAGAGGCCAUGCUUACCUGCUGCAAACACCACAUGGGCAUCUACAAUUUCAUCAUCUCUGUUUGCGAGGACAAUCUUAACUAUUCCAGUAUUAAUUCUGGCCAUACUUCUGCCUGACAUAAAGUCGCCCUGCUUCCUUCCUGUUAGGUGCUGAGCUGGCUCACAGCUGGGACUCACCAGCUUAUCAGUGAGGGAGUGUAAGUGUGUGAUAGGCAAUGCCAGGGCCAGCUCUAUAACCACCCUGCAGAUAGAAUGAGUCUUGACUCAGCUAUCCAUCCCACCACCAACCUAAAGCACGUGGAUAAAUGACUCACCUGACAAAGAUCUUCUCCAUCUCUUCUAGCCGGUACACCUCCUUCACCCUGUGCAGAGCAGAUGGCACAGCUUCCUGAGAUAUGCUUGUGAAAGGUAUGAUAGGGAGGUCCAUACCUACCCUUGUCCUCAGACACUCCCUGCAACCAGCAGCCCACAAGAAUAAGGCUGCUGAGCCUGUGGCAUUACUAUCCUACAGCCUGCCUAGACUUCAGAGCUACCACAUGGGCCCCUGAGACGGCACCAGUGGCUGUGAUUCAGCAGUAAGUCCUGAAGACGGGGGUUAAAAGAGGAAAAAUAUUGCAGGCACAUUUCUCUAACCAUACCCUUAUUCUCACGUAACCUUCACUGACACUACAGGCCACAAGUCCUAGCUCUAUUUACAUCGAUGUAAGAUCUUCCCAUAGCUUAAUUAUUCUAAAUGGCCCUGGUAGUCCUAUUCUUGCAGGCACAGACCUUAUACAGAGUAUAGGGCUCUAGUCUGAGGCCCAGCCCUCCACAUCUGGGGGCAGCAAACCUGCCUUGAGAACCGCUGCUGGGUAAGCUGCCUGUUGAAACUAGCAGGCAGGACAUCAUACAGCACAGGUUAAGCUCACUUUGAGACUGUCCUGCAUCCUCAAUGCUGGGUUCAAUUUUAAAUUUAUUGAUGAGCAUUACCAACACUUCUCUGCUAAUGUAGAUAAGCACCUUACGCUCCGAUGCUCUAAGCCUCUGACCUGGAGAAGGUAGUCUCCAUCUAUGUCUCUCCUGCCUGGAACUUUCACCCUAACGCUCACUGUUGACAGGGCCCUCUUUCUCCUCAAGCACCAAGUUUCAUAGUCAAAUCCCCAUUCCAUGCAGUCAGCUAAGGAUGCUCAAAUGUGAAUGGGUAACUCACAGGGCAGACAUGCAUCUCAAAUUAGGAGACCUUAACCCAUCCUCCCACUGAACCCUGUCGUGCCACACAGGAUAGGAGAAGUAAGCAACAGAAAGCCACAACCCCACGGGCUCUGGGAGGAGACCGACACACUCACCUGAUAGGAUUCAUGUCCGGUCGACUGGGUUUAGAAACUGCUUUCACGAAUUUCUCAGCAAGCUGAAUCCUAUAAUCCAAACGUAAUCCUUAGAGGCAAGCCAGGGCCUCACCUGUGCUGAGGCAUUUCUGCCAGAUAGAUGAGAGGACCUGGACCUACACAAACCAUCCAAGUGGCAGCAUUCAUGUCCCCAGAGCACAAUCUGUCCUGUGGAUUCUGACCUCUGAUUUCCCUAAAGUGUCCUACUGUGUUCAGUCAUCUCCACGAGGACUUUGGGUGUUGUUAUAGUAUACACAUGUACUGUACCUCUAGCUAGCCCAGGUAUACUAAACUGAGCCCACACUCUGGCCAUGAUUUUUAUAAGAAACCUUCCCUCUUCAAACAAGAUUACCCUUGUUCAAUCUUCACACAAAAAAAUGACCUCAGUAAUCUAAGCAACUGUGGCAUGAUGCAGUGUGCUAGAAUCUGACAACUGAGGCCCACAUCUCAACAAGCUGCAAGGCCAGCCGGUCUUCCCUCCUGCCUGGGCCCAGCCUGCUGUGGCCAUGAGCAGUCCUCCCUCCCCAGGGCCCAGGCCCACCGCUGGUUGAAGUGCUGCUCUCGGACGUCACUGCCGUUCAGCACCAGGACAUCAAGGAUGUGGAUUGCGCUGAUCUUCCGCUGGGCCUUCCCCUACAAGGACAAGCAUGCUGUCUGCUGUGCAGGUGCUGGCCUUUGGCCUGCUCUGCCUAUCAUGUGUGCCAUGCUGGUCUUCAACCACCCAUUGCUAAACUAGGGAAAGGCUGCAUCUAGCCUCCCUGCCAAAUGGUCCAGAGCAGAGGCUAGCUUGGGCUUGAGAGCAGGCUUUUGAGAGGAGAGCCUUCAUGAGCCUCAAAUCCAGUAAGAUUGCCGCCAUGUUUGCUGUAGCCAGAGCUAGCUUCCCACUGUGACCUGCUCACAUGGAAUGUUCUGAAUGUCAUACCUACCCUGUCAAAGCUCCCAAAACAUGUCAAGUCUUUUCUAAGGGGUUCCUGCUUAAGUUGGCUACUAAAAACACUAGUAGGAUCCAAGGACUGAAGACAGAUUUUCUGAGUCUGCCCCUUCCCAGCCCCUCCUACAGUAUAAGACAACGGCCUUGGAAUGAUUCUACCACACCGUGAAGCCUAACUAAGGUGAAGGCUAGUCUUCACAGGGCCAUCUUUGAACAGAAACCCUUCUGACCUCUCCUUUUAGUUCAUGCACAAUUUCCACACAGAGCAGUGUGUCCCUGGGCAGCUCCGUCUUUAGGUCCAGCUUCACCCAACGGUCAGACUGGCGGCCAUCCCAAGUGUAGAUCUGGGACUUCUGCAGGCAGAGAGAAGGGAGGACAUGGAGACUAAGCAUGGGAGGCUCUGUUCUCAAAGGAGCCUUUCUGACUUGGCAGCUGCAAGCAGACAGGGUGGCUAAUUUCAGUGGCAAAGGUCUAGGGGAGGUGAGUUUUAUGACACUUUUCCACCACCCAGCAAAAGUCCUUCAUCAAGUUCGAUAUCCAUGUGGAAGUUAGGAUUACAGGAAGAAGAGAAAGCAAAGGGAGAACAAGACAAAAUGGACACAAAGAAGUGACUGGGGAGAAGUCAACUACAUGGCAGGAUGCAGGGUAGGAGAGUGCAAAGGUUGCCUAGUCAAGGAAGAUGUAAAGCUAAGAGGUCCUUCAUCCCUCCUUCCAUUAACCCCAAUGGCUCAGAAGAUGAAAAGAGGUGUCUUCCUGACAGUCAGUGAACGGCAGGGGUGGGAUUGCAGAGACCUGGCUACCCAGCAUCAGCCAGAUGCCCUACUGGCUCUGCAGCUCAGGAAAAGCAACAGCCAGCCGGGCAGUGGUGGCCCAUGCCCUUAAUCCCAGCACUUGGGAGGCAGAGGCAGGCGGAUUUCUGAGUUCAAGGCCAGCCUGGUCUACAGAGUGAGUUCCAGGACAGCCAGGGCUACACAGAGAAACCCUGUCUCGAAAAAACAAAACAAAACAAACAAAAAAAAAUUUAAGAAAAGCAUCAGCCUUCCCUUCAGCUUGGCAAAGCUAGGCAGCGGGAAAGAAACAAAUAAAUGAAGAAACAAAAGCGUGA